ensembl:lncRNA novel transcript
GUAUCAACUAAAACCAAGUAAUUAUAUAUUUUGGAUGUAUUAUUUGACUCUCAGAAGCCUGUUGUAACUUACAGCUCCCAAACUUGAGUGGACAAGCAUGCCCAUCCAUAGGAAAGUUAACCAGCCUCAUGGGACAGUCAGCAUUGAUGAGAGAAAUGCCACCUGAGAACCGUAAAAGAAUACCAUGAUACACUUUGUUCUAAAAGAUGAGUUCAAGUUUUCAUUGCUACUUACUAUAAAUACCCUCUUAUGAAUGCUACAGCCAUCUGUACCUGGAACAGAGUCCCCAGAACACCUACUGGUCCAUCCUCAAUGUAAAAGGUGGAGAGCAUCAGCCUUUCCAAAUGACCUCUUUACUGUUUUAAUAAAAUAUACUGAUAAUGAUGUUGCCACAAAAGACAAUUAUGCUUUAGGUUUUAUAGACAUACUCAAUAAACUUUUAUAUGGAA